rnacentral:sRNA from 1 species
UUUCUUUUUUUCAGGCGGCCGGGAAGAUGGCGGACAUUCAGACUGAGCGUGCCUACCAAAAGCAGCCGACCAUCUUUCAAAACAAGAAGAGGGUCCUGCUGGGAGAAACUGGCAAGGAGAAGCUCCCGCGGUACUACAAGAACAUCGGUCUGGGCUUCAAGACACCCAAGGAGGUGCGGGGGAACCUCAGAAGAAAGAAGGGGACCGUGGCGUUCCUGCACGUGUGCCCACGACGAGUUGCCCUGCCUGCAUCUAAGUGGCUUCUGGGGCUGCUGGGAAUUGUAGUUGCUUCCCUGAGGCCACGCCCCUGGCUCUUUUAAGGAACCGCCCGCCCAAGGCUCACUCCUUUAUCUUUCCUAUCCUUUCAGGCUAUUGAGGGCACCUACAUUGACAAGAAAUGCCCCUUCACUGGUAAUGUGUCCAUUCGAGGGCGGAUCCUCUCUGGCGUGGUGACCAAGAUGAAGAUGCAGAGGACCAUUGUCAUCCGCCGAGACUAUCUGCACUACAUCCGCAAGUACAACCGCUUCGAGAAGCGCCACAAGAACAUGUCUGUACACCUGUCCCCCUGCUUCAGGGACGUCCAGAUCGGUGACAUCGUCACAGUGGGUGAGUGCCGGCCUCUGAGCAAGACAGUGCGCUUCAACGUGCUCAAGGUCACCAAGGCUGCCGGCACCAAGAAGCAGUUCCAGAAGUUCUGAGGCUGGACAUCGGCCCGCUCCCCACAAUGAAAUAAAGUUAUUUUCUCAUUCCCA